AACGAACGCUGGCGGCAUGCCUAACACAUGCAAGUCGAACGAAGGCUUCGGCCUUAGUGGCGCACGGGUGCGUAACGCGUGGGAAUCUGCCCUCUGGUACGGAAUAACUCAGGGAAACUUGAGCUAAUACCGUAUAAUGACUUCGGUCCAAAGAUUUAUCGCCUGAGGAUGAGCCCGCGUCGGAUUAGCUAGUUGGUGAGGUAAAAGCUCACCAAGGCGACGAUCCGUAGCUGGUCUGAGAGGAUGAUCAGCCACACUGGGACUGAGACACGGCCCAGACUCCUACGGGAGGCAGCAGUGGGGAAUAUUGGACAAUGGGCGAAAGCCUGAUCCAGCAAUGCCGCGUGAGUGAUGAAGGCCUUAGGGAAGUAAAGCUCUUUUACCCGGGAUGAUAAUGACAGACCG
rnacentral:rRNA from 1 species